GACGAACGCUGGCGGCGUGCCUAACACAUGCAAGUAGAACGCGGAUGAGAACGGGGGAGUAACGCGUAGGUAACUGCCGCAUAGCGGGGGAUAAAAAAUGGAAACGAUAGCCAAAACCGCAUACUGUGAGAUGUACCUGCGUGUUAUUAGCUAGUUGGUGAGGUAAAGGCUCACACAGGCGACGAUACAUAGCCUACCUGAGAGGGUGAUCGGCAACACUGGGACUGAGACGCGGCCCAGACUCCUUCAGGAGGCAGCAGUAGGGUAUCUUCGGCAAUGGACGGAAGUCUGACCGAGCAACGCCGCGUGAGUGAAGAAGGUUUUCGGGUCGUAAAGUUCUGUUGUUAGAGAUGCGGUAACUAACCAGAAAGGGACGGCUAACUACGUGCCAGCAGCCGCGGUAAUUC
rnacentral:rRNA from 1 species